CGAACGGGUGAGUAAUACAUCGGAACGUGUCCUGUAGUGGGGGAUAGCCCGGCGAAAGCCGGAUUAAUACCGCAUACGAUCUGUGGAUGAAAGCGGGGGAUCUUAGGACCUCGCGCUACAGGGGCGGCCGAUGGCAGAUUAGCUAGUUGGUGGGGUAAAGGCCUACCAAGGCGACGAUCUGUAGCUGGUCUGAGAGGACGACCAGCCACACUGGGACUGAGACACGGCCCACACUCCUACGGGAGGCAGCAGUGGGGAAUUUUGGACAAUGGGCGCAAGCCUGAUCCAGCAAUGCCGCGUGUGUGAAGAAGGCCUUCGGGUUGUAAAGCACUUUUGUCCGGAAAGAAAACCUCUUGGUUAAUACCUGAGGGGGAUGACGGUACCGGAAGAAUAAGCACCGGCUAACUACGUGCCAGCAGCCGCGGUAAUACCCGCGGUAAUACGUAGGGUGCAAGCGUUAGUGCGAAAAGCUUGGGGAGGCGGUUGCGCAGGCGGUCCGUGAAAUCCCCGGGCUUAACCCCGGGCUUGCAUUUGUGACUGGCUGUGUGACUUAUGGCAGAGGGUGGUACAGAGGGACGUGUAGCAGUGAAAUGCGUAGUGAAAUGCGUGGAGAUGUAUGGCGAUGGCAGCCGCGAGGGCCAAUACUGACGCUCAUGCAGACGCUCGUGCACGAAAGCGUGGGGAGCAAACAGGGUUAGAUACCCUGGUAAACGAUGUCCUCAACGAUGUCAACUAGUUGUCGGGUCUUCAUUGACUUGGUAAGUUAGCUAACGCGUGUAGUUGACCGCCUGGGGAGUACGGUCGCAAGAUUAAAACUCAAAGGAAUUGACGGGGACCCGCACAAGCGGUGGAUGAUGUGGAUUAAUUCGAUGCAACGCGAAAAACCUUACCUACCCUUGACAUGUAUGGAAUCCUGCUGAGAGGUGGGAGUGCCCGAAAGGGAGCCAUAACACAGGUGCUGCAUGGCUGUCGUCAGCUCGUGUCGUGAGAUGUUGGGUUAAGUCCCGCAACGAGCGCAACCCUUGUCCCUAGUUGCUACGCAAGAGCACUCUAGGGAGACUGCCGGUGACAAACCGGAGGAAGGUGGGGAUGACGUCAAGUCCUCAUGGCCCUUAUGGGUAGGGCUUCACACGUCAUACAAUGGUCGGAACAGAGGGUCGCCAACCCGCGAGGGGGAGCCAAUCCCAGAAAACCGAUCGUAGUCCGGAUCGCACUCUGCAACUCGAGUGCGUGAAGCUGGAAUCGCUAGUAAUCGCGGAUCAGCAUGCCGCGGUGAAUACGUUCCCGGGUCUUGUACACACCGCCCGUCACACCAUGGGAGUGGGUUUUACCAGAAGUGGCUAGUCUAACCGCAA
rnacentral:rRNA from 1 species